GACCCGGCUGGGUGGUCUUGCCGCAAGGUAAGCACUGCUCUGGUUGGGUCUUUCCUUCUGGGGAACCAGAGUGCACUUAAUUGUGUGCUCUGGGGAUCCAGGACUUUUACUUUGAAAAAAUUAGAGUGUUUAAAGCAGGCUUACGCUUGAAUACAUUAGCAUGGAAUAAUAGAAUAGGAC
rnacentral:rRNA from 1 species